AUACGUAGGUGGCAAGCGUUGUCCGGAUUUAUUGGGCGUAAGGCGAGCGCAGGCGGUUUUUUAAGUCUGAUGUGAAAGCCUUCGGCUUAACCGGAGAAGUGCAUCGGAAACUGGGAGACUUGAGUGCAGAAGAGGACAGUGGAACUCCAUGUGUAGCGGUGGAAUGCGUAGAUAUAUGGAGGAACACCAGUGGCGAAGGCGGCUGUCUAGUCUGUAACUGACGCUGAGGCUCGAAAGCAUGGGUAGC
rnacentral:rRNA from 1 species